rnacentral:rRNA from 1 species
AGUGAACGCUGGCGGUAGGCCUAACACAUGCAAGUCGAACGGCAGCACAGUAAGAGCUUGCUCUUACGGGUGGCGAGUGGCGGACGGGUGAGGAAUACAUCGGAAUCUACUUUUUCGUGGGGGAUAACGUAGGGAAACUUACGCUAAUACCGCAUACGACCUACGGGUGAAAGCAGGGGGUCUUCGGACCUUGCGCGAUUGAAUGAGCCGAUGUCGGAUUAGCUAGUUGGCGGGGUAAAGGCCCACCAAGGCGACGAUCCGUAGCUGGUCUGAGAGGAUGAUCAGCCACACUGGAAAUGAGACACGGUCCAGACUCCUACGGGAGGCAGCAGUGGGGAAUAUUGGACAAUGGGCGCAAGCCUGAUCCAGCCAUACCGCGUGGGUGAAGAAGGCCUUCGGGUUGUAAAGCCCUUUUGUUGGGAAAGAAAAGCAGCAGGUUAAUACCCCGCUGUUCUGACGGUACCCAAAGAAUAAGCACCGGCUAACUUCGUG